CUCUGUUAAUGUCAACUAUAUUGAAAAUAAAUAUUUAUUAAAAUUAUUUUCUUUAUCCUCUGUGUAAUCCACUAACUACAGUAAUAAAGUCUACACCUUGGAUGAAUUUGUUCGAGUAAUGUUUAGUGCUGCCUGUAAAACUAAUAUUUAUAAACUCAACAAUUCAUCUGUAUAAGCUUUAAGACUCAAUUUCCAUCACCAGCAACUUCAUUCUUACUUCAUUCUUAGCUCGCAACGGAUAAUUGCUAAUUCUAAAUAUCAUAGCACAAAUUUGGGGAAUACUCAAAUACUCAUAAGUGACAUGUACAGACUUCCAAAGAAAACGAACAGCUCUCUAUUUCUAUAUAUGUUCUGUGUAGUUCAAGGCACAGUAAGAACAAGAAUCUUACUAGGAAUUCAAAAUUUGCA